rnacentral:lncRNA from 1 species
CAGGAAUGCGAGUAUGUGAGUAUGUGACAGGCAGUGCUCUGGGUUAAGUUCGCAAUAAGCCACACUCCCACUGUGGAAAAGCCAUCCUUCUAGAAGGUUAGGGAGGUGUGGGUGAUGAGCCGUGGGAUCAGGAGCUUUGCAGCCUUCUUCAGAUGUCUGACUGCAUGUGUGAAAUUUCCUUGGAGGUUUCCUGGAGAAUUCCUGAGGCUGUGGAAGGUCCAGACUCUAGCCUGGAGCGAUUGGGGGUGGUCUAAAACCAUGUGGACCACCUGGAAGGCACAGAGGCUUUGA